UUACAAUGGGAAAACUGCUAGCCACUCCUUUCUUUGUGACCUUGGGCACACAUUAGCAAUGUCUAGGAACAGCCUUUCCGAUUACAAGAUGAGGUUAUGCUAAAGUCACAAGGUUAGUACCAGCGUCCAAGAAGGAAACGGAGACAAAGGGCCCAGAGGGGAGUGCCAGCUUCGCUAAGCUCAAGGCUGUCCUCAACACAGAACUCCAAACUCAAGAGCUUCAACGGGGAACCAUCCAGACCUUCAUUUUCCAAGUGAGUCGCUUCUAAUUCUUGUUCAAGGGAAUUCACCUGGCUGACCUGUGAAAAACAAAACAUUCUGUUCUAAACACGCAAGUUGCACUACUUGAUGUUGUCCUGUUGGAGUUCGUUGGAAAUCUCAAGCUGUGGAAGAGAUCCAGAGUAAUUGAGCAAGUGGAAACAACAAACUAUGCAAUUCAGUACAUGGCUUAUAUCUAAGAUCAGACUUGAAGAUCUUAAACAGAAUUUCAAGUUGGAUACUCGCAAGAAUAGCUGAGCUACAGGACCCUGAAUUCCAGAAUUUUCUGAGGUAGAAAACAGUCCUACAAUUCUGGGACCCCUA